rnacentral:rRNA from 1 species
GACGAACGCUGGCGGCGUGCUUAACACAUGCAAAUCGAACGAUGAAGCCUAGCUUGCUAGGUGGAUUAGUGGCGAACGGGUGAGUAAUACGUGAGUAACCUACCUUUAACUCUGGGAUAAGCCCGGGAAACUGGGUCUAAUACCGGAUACGACCAAUCUCCGCAUGGGGUGUUGGUGGAAAGCGUUAUGUAGUGGUUAUAGAUGGGCUCACGGCCUAUCAGCUUGUUGGUGAGGUAACGGCUCACCAAGGCGACGACGGGUAGCCGGCCUGAGAGGGUGACCGGCCACACUGGGACUGAGACACGGCCCAGACUCCUACGGGAGGCAGCAGUGGGGAAUAUUGCACAAUGGGCGCAAGCCUGAUGCAGCGACGCCGCGUGAGGGAUGACGGCCUUCGGGUUGUAAACCUCUGUUAGCAGGGAAGAAGAGAGAUUGACGGUACCUGCAGAGAAAGCGCCGGCUAACUACGUG